CGGCGUUGUCCCGCACCACGCUGGCACCCUGGCCUUGCAUGGGGUGCAAGGGGUCGAGUGUUCGAAUCACUCCGUCCCGACCA
rnacentral:tRNA from 1 species